UUUUAUACUCUUCACUACUUAGGUAACAUGUUGAGGUUAUCAAUUAUUUCCUAAUUUGACUAUAUUAUGACAUUUUCUCCACCUUUUUCAGUCUACAAAUGAAGAAUUAGUUGGACAUAUUGAAUUGUUUAUGAGGAUGCAUUCCACAUCAAAAGGAUGGGAUAACCAACUAGCCGAUAUGUAAGAUAUAUAAUUUAUUACACAAAGAUCUUAACAUUAAUAUUAUUUAUUUUAACAACAUUUUUCUAUUGUAUGAUAGAAAGAAAUGGUGGAAUUACAACAAUCAUGAGCAGAGCUUGAAGAUGAAGCAUCUAUAAUGGAUAAAGCAGAAAUAUGUGCUCAAGUCCUUGGUAAGAGUGCUGGGACUAUUUCUAGGAUUGGACCCACUCCACGCAAAUCAUACAACAACGCAGUUACGGCUCCCCCUAAAUUGAUGCAACAAUUGAAAAUUCUUACAAAACGAGAUAAAGAGAAGGAUAAAGCUAUUUGUGAGCUUACACAAAGUUUUGAACAACAAACAUUACUUAUCUAGAACCUUGUUAUAUGAAUGGAUAUAAGUCAGCAUCCUCCAACAGGACCAACAAUGAUCCACCUCCACCACCGUCAUAGUUGGUGCUGUAGUACUAUGAUUACAUUAUUGAAGUUACAAUUUAUCUUUUUGUGGUCAAAUAUUAGACAUUUAUUUAUGAUUAUACAUUGACUAUUAGUAGUUAUCUAUCCAAUACAAUUUUCUUUUGUAGCGGCAUAUUUUUUGUUAAAU
rnacentral:lncRNA from 1 species